rnacentral:rRNA from 1 species
ACUUUCAACAACGGAUCUCUUGGCUCUGGCAUCGAUGAAGAACGCAGCGAAACGCGAUAAGUAAUGUGAAUUGCAGAAUCCAGUGAAUCAUCGAAUCUUUGAACGCACAUUGCGCCCGCCAGCAUUCUGGCGGGCAUGCCUGUUCGAGCGUCAUUUCAACCCUCGACCUCCCCUUGGGGAGGUCGGCGUUGGGGACCGGCAGCACACCGCCGGCCCUGAAAUGGAGUGGCGGCCCGUCCGCGGCGACCUCUGCGCAGUAAUACAGCUCGCACCGGGACCCCGACGCGGCCACGCCGUAAAACACCCAACUUCUGAACGUUGACCUCGAAUCAGGUAGGACUACCCGCUGAACUUAAGCAUAUCAAUAAGCGGAGGAAAAGAAACCAACAGGGAUUGCCCCAGUAACGGCGAGUGAAGCGGCAACAGCUCAAAUUUGAAAUCUGGCUCUCAGGGCCCGAGUUGUAAUUUGUAGAGGAUGCUUUUGGCGAGGUGCCUUCCGAGUUCCCUGGAACGGGACGCCACAGAGGGUGAGAGCCCCGUAUGGUCGGACACCGAGCCUCUGUAAAGCUCCUUCGACGAGUCGAGUAGUUUGGGAAUGCUGCUCAAAAUGGGAGGUAUAUGUCUUCUAAAGCUAAAUAUUGGCCAGAGACCGAUAGCGCACAAGUAGAGUGAUCGAAAGAUGAAAAGCACUUUGAAAAGAGGGUUAAAAAGUACGUGAAAUUGUUGAAAGGGAAGCGCCUAUGACCAGACUUGCGCCCGGUGAAUCACCCAGCGUUCUCGCUGGUGCACUUUGCCGGGCACAGGCCAGCAUCAGUUCAGCGCGGGGGAGAAAGGCUUCGGGAAUGUGGCUCCCUCGGGAGUGUUAUAGCCCGCUGCGUAAUGCCCUGCGCCGGACUGAGGUACGCGCAUUGCAAGGAUGCUGGCGUAAUGGUCAUCAGCGACCCGUCUUGAAACACGGACCAAGGAGUCGUCUUCGUAUGCGAGUGUUCGGGUGUCAAACCCCUACGCGUAAUGAAAGUGAACGUAGGUGAGAGCUUCGGCGCAUCACCGACCGAUCCUGAUGUUCUCGGAUGGAUUUGAGUAAGAGCAUACGGGGCCGGACCCGAAAGAAGGUGAACUAUGCCUGUAUAGGGUGAAGCCAGAGGAAACUCUGGUGGAGGCUCGCAGCGGUUCUGACGUGCGAAUCGAUCGUCAAAUAUGGGCAUGGGGGCGAAAGACUAAUCGAACCUUCUAGUAGCUGGUUUCCGCCGAAGUUUCCCUCAGGAUAGCAGUGUUGAACUCAGUUUUAUGAGGUAAAGCGAAUGAUUAGGGACUCGGGGGCGCUAUAUUGCCUUCAUCCAUUCUCAAACUUUAAAUAUGUAAGAAGCCCUUGUUACUUGAUUGAACGUGGGCAUUCGAAUGUAUCAACACUAGUGGGCCAUUUUUGGUAAGCAGAACUGGCGAUGCGGGAUGAACCGAACGCGAGGUUAAGGUGCCGGAGUGGACGCUCAUCAGACACCACAAAAGGUGUUAGUACAUCUUGACAGCAGGACGGUGGCCAUGGAAGUCGGAAUCCGCUAAGGACUGUGUAACAACUCACCUGCCGAAUGUACUAGCCCUGAAAAUGGAUGGCGCUCAAGCGUUCCACCCAUACCUCGCCCUCAGGGUAGGAACGAAGCCCUGAGGAGUAGGCGGACGUGGAGGUCAGUGACGAAGCCUAGGGCGUGAGCCCGGGUCGAACGGCCUCUAGUGCAGAUCUUGGUGGUAGUAGCAAAUACUUCAAUGAGAACUUGAAGGACCGAAGUGGAGAAAGGUUCCAUGUGAACAGCAGUUGGACGUGGGUUAGUCGAUCCUAAGCCAUAGGGAAGUUCCGUUUCAAAGGCGCACUAUGCGCCGUGUGGCGAAAGGGAAGCCGGUUAAUAUUCCGGCACCUGAAUGUGGGUUUUGCGCGGCAACGCAACUGAACGCGGAGACGACGGCGGGAGCCCCGAGCAGAGUUCUCUUUUCUUCUUAACGGUCUAUCACCCUGAAAUCGGUUUAUCCGGAGCUAGGGUUUAAUGGCCGGAAGAGCCCAGCACCUCUGCUGGGUUCGGUGCGCUCUCGACGUCCCUUGAAAAUCCGCGGGAAGGAAUAAUUCUCACGUCAGGUCGUACUCAUAACCGCAGCAGGUCUCCAAGGUGAACAGCCUCUGGUUGAUAGAACAAUGUAGAUAAGGGAAGUCGGCAAAAUAGAUCCGUAACUUCGGGAUAAGGAUUGGCUCUAAGGGUUGGGCACGUUGGGCUUUGGAAGGACGCCUCGGGAGCAGGCCGCCA